UCAAGUAGAGAGAUUUGAUGAGCCAAGGAAACAGUUGCCCAAGAUAAACAGACUGCUCUUACCAGAGAUAACAAAAGAAUAAUGGACCUUUCUUUUGUUCUUCAAAAGAACAAUGAACCUUAAAAAAUUAAAAUCAUCCAUCAUAUGAUAGUAGAAACCUAGAUAGACUAAAAUUGAAUAAAAGAAUCAUCUUCAUGGUAAUCCAGUUUCUUAAAACAGGGCAGAGCGUUCCUUCCUCAAAAUAAUUUUACAACUACAAUGAAAGAGCAACAAGGGAACCGCCAGACGAUUACUCUCAAAAGAGUACAAACUGUUAUAUAGUACUUCCCAAUUAGAAUAUUAAGUGAUUGACUCUCAAGCACCCAGAAUCUUUUUCUCUUUCGUUGGUCAGAGAACCCAGGAGUAAUGGUUCAUAAUAAAUGUUGUAACUAAACUUUUACAGUGGGCACACUUAGGCAGGUAAAUGGGACAUCUUAGGCAGGUAAAUGGGACAUCUUAGACAAGGAAAUGGACGGUGCCCCACAUGGAAAAUUUCAGCUAAGGAAAGUAGUCAAAAUGCCAAUAUAAACUACAAACACAAGUAGCAAUGAAAACACAACUGAUCGCAACGAACUCCUACUAUUCCGAGAGCAAAAAGUGAACUCAUACUUCAAAGUGUGCUUUUUCCUCUAAUUUCCAUUAUGCUAAUAUCAAUCAUGGCGAGUCUUAUUCAUGUGAGGCAAAAUGGACUGUUGGUAAACAUCAAUUUAUUAGGGUACAAAUCAUCUUAAAAAGCUAAAAUUUCCACUAGUGAGAAUAUUACAGAGAAAUAAGCCCAGAACGAUGGGUAUCAAAACCCUCAAAGAUCUUCCCUCCUACAGCCAAUCCCCAUUCAGAAGAACUGAUCUAAUGACUAAGUCCUCAGUCGAUAAGGGAUUGAAAGAAGACCAAAGCAAAUAGACACAGGAAUCUUUACAAUUAGGAAACAUAGCAUUUUCAAUCACAGAAAUCUUCACACCGGAAACUUCAUUUUAGUAUAAUAACAGACCUUUUAUGAUUCCGUGAUGAAAGUUGAUAAUGCACGUGUUCAAGUACAAAUCGAGGUUACUCUCAAAGAACACUGAUUUGCUCAUAAGCUAAACAGUAAUCACCAUCUACAUGCUUUGAUUCAAGAACACC
rnacentral:lncRNA from 1 species